UUUCAGAAUUAUUAUUAGUAUCUGUGCAUGCAUUUGUGAUAUCAUUUGACUUUCCCAUUGCUCACAAUUUGAAUUUGUUCAUACUGCAGAUGAGGAGACUGCUUCUCAACCUAAAAAGAGAGCUCGUUUGGGGACUGACCUGACAGAGACAGCGAAAGACGGCACAGUGUGGCGUGAAGAACAGGUGGGGACGCGUCUCCCUUUCACCCCAAUAGAAGCGUACGCCGCAGAUGGAGAGCCAACGGCUAAGGCCAGAAGAAGUAUCUCGAGUUGCCUUCAGAGCUUCCUGUGUUUCAUCACUCUUGACAUGCUUCGUAGCAUUCAAGAAUGGACGAUCCAACAUGCACAGCAAACUGAGCAUGCUCAUUGGUUCAUGGGCCUCCCUGAACUAAUGGCAUUUAUCGCAAUUGUCAUCUUGUGGGGGCUUACCAAGGUUCCAUCGCUACGUGACUGCUGGUCAGCAAACCUGGGAAACCCACAGAUCAUUGGAACUAUGCCGUGAAACCGCUUCCAAGACAUCAUGCGACACCUACGCUUUGAUGACAGGUCCACCCGCAGUGAUCGAGCAAAGACAGACAAGUUUGCUGCAAUUUCCAGUGUGUGGGGAUCAUUUGUCACCAACUGCAUCACGUCCUACAACCCUGGUCUACAUAUCACCGUUGGUGAACAGCUUUUCCCGUCAAAGACUCGCUGCUGUUUCCUGCAGUAUAUUGCAACUAAACCUGAUAAGUUUGGGAUCAAGUUUUGGGUCCAAGUACAUUUGCAAUGUCCUCCCAUAUGUUGGCAAGGACCCCAGUCGUCCCAGUGGGGAGAGACUGUCUGAAAACGUAGUGAUGAGGCUGAUGGAACCAUUCCUAGACAAGGCCAGAAAUGUUACCACGGACAAUUUCUUCACAUCUCUGUCACUUGCGCAAAAACUGCUUCGCCGGAAAACCACCAUCCUCGGCACAGUCAACAAGAUUGGCCGGGAAAUUCCUCAAUCCGCCAGACAAACAGAUCGCAGUGAAUUCACCACUCAGGUGUUUUCAACCACUGAUGCCACACUGACGGCGUAUUCGGCCAAAUGGAAGAAGACCGUCUACGUUCUUAGCAGCAUGCACAGCGUGGUUCAGACUGAUAAUACCACCAAAAGGAAGCCAAACACUGUCACCCUUUACAACACCACAAAGUGUGGCGUGGAUGUGAUGGACCAGAUGGUGCGGGAGUACACUGUCCGCAGAGGAACACGCCGCUGGCCAGUUGCCGUGUUCUAUAAUAUGAUUGACAUGGCAGCAUUGAAUGCACAUGUGCUAUAUCAAGCAUGCACCGGGAAGCAGGAAAGACGGGUGGACUUCCUGGUGGAGCUUGCAUGAGAGUUGGCUAGCUCUCAUAUGGCGGCGAAGAAGGCAAGAAAUGAACAAUUGCUUCGGACACAACCCUCCACACCUGGCCCUGGAAAAAGAGCCACGUGCCAGGUCAAACACCAGUGCAAGAACAAUCAUGCCACUGUGCGAUGUGUUCACUGCUACAGAUACACAUGUGGUAAAUGCAGACUGGAGAUGCCAUGGCAGUGCCAAGAUUGGGAGUGAUUGCUGAAAUGUACUCACUCACUUUUUAUUAUUAUAAAACUAACUAACACGCUGCUUAUUUCCCGUGUGAUGUAAGUGAUUUUCUGACUGAUACUGCCUCAAGCCGAGUAAGUUUGUAUAUUUCGUACCUGUUCAUGUUUGACACCGAUGCUCUUUGACCCCUGCGCUCCCAACACUCGUUGCCUUUUCCUGCACCACAGACAAUCCUUGUUCUCCCAGUACGACCCCUUUUGGCCUGACUCCUCUCCAGCCAGUCUGCUCCGCAGUGACGUGUGGCUCCAAUAGACCAUAGGUUCUCCACAGACAGUUCUGCCCUUGCGAUUGCGCCCCAGGUCCUGCCCUCUGGUAAGGGGGCAUGGGGAAGGUUGGAGGAAAGUGCAUUAAAAACACUUUCUUUGGGAAUCAGCAGAAGGUUCAAGAAGGUUCAUCUUGUGAUGCAGGAGCAUCCUGAACAAAGUCAGCAGGCUCCUUUUAGAAGAUGGUGGGCCGCAGCCUAUUGUCUCUGCAUUGUCGAGUUAAGAGGUGUGUUCAAGCUUAAAAGUAUGUGAGCCACUGAAGGGGUUUGUCUUUAGAUCUUCUGUGUGUUCAUUUAUUACCGCACAGUAAUUAAAGUGCAGUGUUCUUCAGACUGUUGCAACAUUUCCACUCUGGACUGUGAGAUGUUACUGCUACUGUUACUUUAACAUGUUAUGACUACGUUGUAAGUUCACGCUCAUUUUUAGUUUAUUUGACAGAGC
ensembl:lncRNA